rnacentral:rRNA from 1 species
UACAGAGGGUGCAAGCGUUAAUCGGAAUUACUGGGCGUAAAGCGCGCGUAGGUUGUUGUGUAAGUUGGAUGUGAAAGCCCCGGGCUUAACCUGGGAACUGCAUUCAAAACUGCACGGCUAGAGUACGGGAGAGGGGGGUAGAAUUCCAGGUGUAGCGGUGAAAUGCGUAGAGAUCUGGAGGAAUACCGAUGGCGAAGGCAGCCCCCUGGCCUGAUACUGACACUGAGGUGCGAAAGCAUGGGGAGCAAACAGG